AGUGAACGCUGGCGGCAGGCCUAACACAUGCAAGUCGAGCGGCAGCGGGUCCCCGCGAGGGGAUGCCGGCGAGCGGCGGACGGGUGAGGAACACAUCGGAAUCUGCCUGGUUGUGGGGGGAUAACGUAGGGAAACUUACGCUAAUACCGCAUGCGACCCUGAGUCGACGGACUGGGGGGUGAAAGUGAGGGACCUUCGGGCCUCACGCGACCAGAUGAGCCGAUGUCGGAUUAGCUAGUUGGCGGGGUAACGGCCCGCCAAGGCGACGAUCCGUAGCUGGUCUGAGAGGAUGAUCAGCCACACUGGGACUGAGACACGGCCCAGACUCCUACGGGAGGCAGCAGUGGGGGAAUCUUGGACAAUGGGCGCAAGCCUGAUCCAGCCAUG
rnacentral:rRNA from 1 species